AUCACCUGGGAAUCUUGUUAAAAUGCAGAUUUUGAUCUUGUAAGCCUGGACUGGGGCCUGAGAUUCUGCAUUUCUAACAAACUCCCAGGUGAUUCUGG
rnacentral:pre_miRNA from 1 species